rnacentral:lncRNA from 1 species
AUUUAUUUUAUUUUGAGACAUGAUCUCCUUGAGUUGCUGAGGUUGGCUUCAAACUUGUGACCCUCCCACCUCAGCCCCGCAGGUCGCUGUGAUUACAGUCAAGUGCCACUGUACCCAGCUAAUUUUACUACCUUUAAUGGCACUUCCCCCUUCUUUUGGACCAGAACCCCACAUUUUCAUUUUUCACUACCCCCACAGGUUAUGGAGCUCUCCCUGCUGCUACCUUCAUCAUGUGACUUCUGGUCAUAUCUAGCUCAAAAAAAAAAAAUGAAAUGACAUCAUCUGGGUAUGAAGGAAUGCCUGUCCCUUGUUAAUUCUUCUCGGGUGUUUCCUGGUUCUGUUUCAGCCCCAGUCACAGAGCUAAGGGGCUAGGAAGGAAACAGACACGUGGAAAGAUGUCCCCUCGCCACAGCUCUGCAUCCCCCUCCAUCCUUCAUCCUCCCCCACUCAUCUGCAAGUUCACACUCAGCACAUUCCUAACUCUUCACAGAUUCCUCAGUUUGAUUCUUCCUGACAGUCUCAGAGAAGACCUUUCCUUUGAACUCACAAAGUUCUCCCUUACCUCUCCUCUGGCCCUCCCCAUACAACCUUGGGACAUGCUUAAAAGAAAAACCAAAAUUGUCCAGUAACACCAAAGGUAGCUUUUAAGUCUAGUGAGAUAUGUGAAAGGAAAUCUCAAGGCUUCUGUGAGUGGCUUGUUGCUAGCAAAGUCAGUGGCCCUGCCUGGUGUAAGUUGCCCUGUUUGGAGAUUCAAGGUUUAGAGAUGAGCUGGGGGUACCACCUAGUAGAGAAAAAGCAAUUCAGAUCUGUCAAGGAAAUCUGCAAGGGAGGAGGGGAGGAGGAGAGAUGUGAGGGGAGAGAAGAGAAGUAGAAUUUCCAGCAGUAGACAGAACGAAGGACUUACAGGGAUGUAGAAGGUUAAUGCUCAAUUUUAAACUGCCACCUUGUAAUACUUGAUCCUCUCUGGAAACCUUUAUGUCCACAAAAAGACUUUGUGAAAAUGAAAUCGCAUAUUUUUUUUCUUGCUUUUUUAUGGAAAUCAAAUGAAGGGAUCAAGUUUCCCAUUAUGGAAAGAACAGGGUAGGUGUGCUGGGGCUGGGUGAAUUGGACUCAACUGAUUGGGUGAAAUGAGAAGCUCUUGGCCAGAGUAAUCUCAAUAAUAUAAUACCCUGCCCCUGGAAAUUUUCCCCACACUGGGGAAAGGUACUGGACUUUCUGUAGUUAUAGGAUAGAGGUUUGAACCAAUCUUAUCUGGAUAUAAAAGGACAAGGAGAACCCAGCUGAGCUCUGAACCUAUUUGUGAUCAUGCCUUCUCUUCUUUGCCAGACCCGUGUCAAUUGGGAUGGUGGCUUUUGCAGAACCGCUGUAGGCAGCUUCCCUCACAGCUUCCCUCAUGGAAGACAAGGGGAAAUGAGCAUCUUGAGAAGAAACCUCCGAGAAACAGAAUGGAGGAGGGAAGAGGAUACUAAAA